rnacentral:lncRNA from 10 species
GUGGAUAUACAUUGGAACAAUCAGGAAUCAUCAAAGUGUUUUUCACAGUGGCUGUGCCAUUUGACAUUCCCACCAUCAGUGUACAAGGGUAUGGUAGCUUAUUUUUAUGACUUACGUAGGUAUCAGACAGGAUUUGGUGAGGAACACAGAAGCCACUGUAUGUUCUGCACAUAAAGGGUUUAAAAGUCAAGCAGGAGCUUAUACACAAGUUAGAAGACUUAGGAGACUGCAGAUGAGAGAAGCUGCUGCCAGCAUUUGGGGAAUUGUCCCUGAAAGUCAAAGGAGUUACCCUGAAAUCUCAGCCUGCAGCCCCAAAGCAGCUGGUUUUUAAAAGCUUGCCUAGAAUUCUUGAGAUUCCCGAGGAGCCCCCAACACCAACCGUCUCAGCCUGCAAUGAUGAGGGGCUUGCCAGGAAUCCGCAGGGAAUCUCUCAUCUGUCCACACAUCCAGCUGCAACCAUCUCUGAAGACUGAUGGCUUCCACUUCCUUUCAGCCUUCCAAAUAUCAUACAAGUUCCUCUCAUUAAAAAAAAGCAAACAUAUACAGAAGGGGGUCUUGGGAAGCACAGUUCCCAUUCUUAGAAGGGAGAGGUAGUGGUGCCUGCUGACAACAGCACACAUUAUACUCUUCUUUAUUCUAGAAGGCAUUCCAGGGAUCUUAUAACGAUGCAUCAAAUUUGACCAACAGAAAUUUGACAGCAUACAUUAUACUCUUCUUUAUUCCAGAAAGCAUUCCCAGACAGCUUAUUACGAUGCAUAACAUUUGACUAACAUAAAUUCAAAGUCGAGCAAAUGAAGGCAAAAAGGCAGAAGGGAAGAGUGAAAAUGGACCCAGAAAUAGGGCGAAGCAUGUCUGCCACACUCGUCUACCUGCUGACCAUGGGUGAACCUCAUGGUGAGCUGUUGACCACAGGAUUCACCACAGAAUUCACUCUCCAGAAGACAAAAACUGCUGUGGAGAUUGGAAAAUUUAUCUUAAAAUAUUAAGGUCAGACAAGAACCUCUGUCAAGGAACAGGAAGUCGUGCCCUGAGGAGACAAGUAGAGGCUGUAGCCAUGGGUGGCUUUGGGGUAGUAGCUGUUGGCUGUGCCUAGAAGGACAUCAUGAAAGUUGUAAGUGCUGCUAAUUGACGUCCCCCAAUUCAUAUGCGGAAGUCCUGGCCCCUAGUACCUCAAGAUGUGCUUGGUUUUGGAGCUGGGGUCUUUAAAGAGUUUUGCAACUACAAAGGGCCCAGAGUUUCCCUUGUGAAUGAGCUCAGCAUCCUCACGUUUCCAAGAGGAAUCAACACUGCAAUUCCUCGGACCACGGUGGCUCUCUUCCCAGCACACCUUUGCUGUGACCUGCACCCCUGCAUUGUCCUCAAAGACACACUAAGAAAACACAUUUCAGAAGGAAGGACGUAACGGAGCUCAUGAUCCAGUUCUGCAUUUGGCGUGGCCCCAAAGACACUGUGUGCAGAGUCAGAAAUAUGCUCCCCAGUUGGACUCCAUGGGAUACUGUUUCAAAAGAGCUAUCAUUCUUGUCUGUUUACCACAUAUCUUGUUCUAAUAGGCUCUUCUUUUCCAGAGUUUUUUAUUUUCCCUGGCAUUUUGUGUUUUGGUAAUUGCCUACAAGAAUAGUUCUAUAACAGAAAUCAACAAUGAAAACCAAAUUACCCCUGCCCACAUCCUUUCAUUCCUUUUUCAUCUCUAAUGAUAUUUUCUGUAUGAUGACUAACCCAGACUGACGUAAUUUAUCAAUUGAUCUUGACGAUGUACAUUAGAAAAUGCAUUCUGCAGGCCCCAGCAGGCCAUCUUCCAUGUGCGCCACGUAGCUUUAGAAAACCUAUUAGUGCAACAGAAAUAUCUAAAGCCCAGCCUUUUUGCUAAGAAUAUUAGAACUGGUGCUAAUUACUUUAUUAAUCAUAAAGUGAAACAGCCGUGCUAUGUCACCACAGCCGUAAAAUAAGUGGUUUUAUGGCAAAAGUAGUUAAAGAGAAAGGACAGAUUGGAUUUAUAUACUCAGCUGGUUAAAAAAAAGAAAUUAUGCAUACCAGCAAUUUUCUUUCUUUGGUUAAAUGUUCAUUAAAUGUGUACCACUAAAAACCAUUUGUAACUAAUUCCCUAGUGGGUCCAUGCCUUAAAAUAAUUUAUUUUAAAAUACAAAUUAAGGCUUAAAUUUGCCUUUUUAUUAAAAAUAGGUAUAAUGAGUCAACAUAUCUCCUAAGAGAAAGGAGCGUUGCAGACAUGCUGAUGAGAGGAAUCUUGUCGCCAAAACCUGGAGGCCAUGCUGGUGUUGGGGACUUAGGCUAUCCUGCAGGUGCCUGUCACCAUUAAGGGCGGCAGAAUUCAGAGGCUUUGGUCCAGGUUAAAGCACAGAGGUGGCCACUGUCUGAAGACAGGGACACCACAAUGACCAUCAUUGAGGGCGAUGUUUAUGCUUCCAUUGUUAGUUUAGAUAUUUUGUUUUCUUUAAAGUCAGUAUUGUCUCUGAGUAAAUAAAAACAAUCUCCAGUUUCUGCAAGUAUGCUUGGCUUUCACACACUUUGCAAUUAAAAAAAACUAGGAUUCAUCAACAUUUCACUUUCUGUUACUGAUUAAAGCCACUUGUGUGUGUGUGUAUGUGUGUGUGUGUGUGCGUGGGCAUGUGUGCAUGUGAUUAGAUGGAAGAGAGAGCAUUAAUGUUUGUUAAGUGCUAAUACAUUUCAGACACUUUAUACAUUAAUCUAUUAAUGGCUAUCUCAUUUAAUAUUCAAAACAGAUGUGUUAUAGGUGGCCUAUCUCCUGUUUACAGAAAACCAAGGUGCAAUAAUCUCUCUCUGAAGGUAACUCUGUUGUGGCAGAUAUGGAAUCCUGACUCAAGACUGCCAGAUUCCAAAAUCCAUGCUCUUUAUCCUGUACCAGGGCAUUUCCAAUUAAAAUGCAAGACAAAAUUACUAAAUGCUGAGUGCAGGCUGAUUUCACAAAUCAAAAUGAUGAAGUAGAUAAUAUUGUCUCCAUUUUAGCACUGGACACUAAAAAGAGGGUAAGUUGUCAGGGUCACAUAGUUAGUGAGUGAAUUCCAACCCAAAUCCAUUAUGGGAGUCUAGGCCCCCUUGUCUAUGGUCUCAGUAUCCUCUUCCAUCAGAUAAUUUCCAGCCCUAGGAAUUUUCUUCUUGUAUUAAAUAUCUCCUGGCUCAAAGUUAAAUUCAUUUUCUUUUGCUUUGCCUUUUAUUUAUUUAUUUAUUUAUUUAUUUAUUUGAGACAAAAAUCUCUGUUGCCCAGGCUGGAGUGCAGUGGCACAAUCUCAGCUCACUGAAACCCCCACCUUCUGGGUUCAAGUGAUUCCCCUACCUCAGUCUCCCAAGUAGCUGGGAUUAUAGGCAUGUGCCAUCAUACCCAGCUAAUUUUUGUAUUUUUAGUAAAGACAGGGUUUCACCAUACUGGCCAUGCUGGUCUUGAACUCCUGACCUCAGAUGAUCCACCCACCUCAGCCUCCCAAAGUGCUGGGAUUACAGGCAUGAGCCGCCAUGCUCAGCCUGCUUUGCCUUUUGUGAUCAAAAGAAAAAAUACCACCAUCCUUCAGGUAAUCCUAUCAACAUAGUGUAAACUCUUCAAAUUACCCUUCAAUGGGUUAAACAAUCCCAAAUUACUAAGUUGUCUCUUGGUGAAGACAGUAUUCCUAGUUACUUCUGACCACACAGAAUCAAUACAAAGAAACCAGACCAAAGAAACUGCCUCUUAAAAUAGAACAUGCCAUCUUUUUAUGUCACAGCUGGGACUAGUAUUGUUUCCAACGAACAGAGUGUGGAAUUGAGGACUCAACUUAGGUGAAGCUCUGCUACGGAGUAGGCAACUAUCAGACGUUGGCUCUUUCCUCUCUCCUUGAUGGGCCCACUGGCCCAGGAUAUGAGGCCUGAGAGAUUCCUAUAGGAGGAGAGGAUGAAUAUUUUGACAAGCAGGUAACUUUAGAAAGAUGUAGGUAGCAGAUCUUAGGGAUUGGUGUUCUAGAACAGGGGUCCCCAGCCUUUUUGGCACUAGGGACCCAUUUCGUGGAAGACAAUUUUUCCAUGGAUGGGAGCAGGGAUGGUUUCGGGAUGAAACUGUUCCACCUCGGGUCAUAAGGCAUUAGUUAGAUUCUCACAAGGAGUGCUCAACCUAGAUCCCUCGCAGGCACAGUUCACAAUAGGGUUCAUGCUCCUGUGAGAAUCUAUAGCUGAUGCUGAUCUGACAGGAGGCGGAGCUCAGGUGGUAAUGCUCACUUGCCCGCUACUCACCUCCUGCUCUGUGACCUGGUUCCUAGCAGACCACGGACCAGCAUGGUUCCAUGGCCCAGAGGAUGGGGACCCCUGUUCUAGAGCAAAACUCCAAUUGGAAAGUAAGGCAAAGAGACCAAGACAGGAAUGUAGCAAUAACUCUGGAGUACAAGGUAGGGCAGAAAUUAAAGUACACAUUCAAGCAAGGAUUACUUUCUUAUUCCAUGCAUUACCAAGUCAUUUGGAUCCUUAACGUCCUAUAUGGAUGUGAUAGGUCCCAGGGCCUGGGUUAAGCUUGAGGCAGGACCAGCUGCUUAAUUUGUGGGCUGUAGUGCAAAAUGAAAUUGCAGGCACCUUAUUCAAAAGCUAGACAAAAGUGCUGUUAAAGGUUCCAAAAUAUUAAACUCUUUCUUUUCUUUCUGGUUUCUUUCCCUAUUAUGCUUUAAAAAUUUUUGCUAUUUGAUAUUGCACUCCCUCAGGCAUGGGGAUAUUUGCAAGGGUCAGUAUGGACUCUCACAAGUGCCUGGGGACCCCUAUUUGUGACUUUGCAGUGUUACCCACUAGCUUCCAGGACAGGACAUUCUCUGUCAGCCCCCAGAUUGAUGUUCUCUGCCCAGCCAGGUUAUGGGAGUCAGCCCUAACUCACAGAGGACUGGAGACUCUCAAGGGAUCGCAAUCUCAACACUGAGAAGUGGUUGGGACCUGGGUUGGGUAGGCAGAGGCUCACACCUGCCUGGAUGUGUACUGAACAGCCAUGGUACUGCCAGCCGGAGAUGAGGACAGCUGCCAGCCAGGGAUGGGGACAGCGACCACCAUGCCCUGCCCUGAGACACCCCUGAACCUUCCAGCAUCCUUGUCUGUGCACAGGUUCUCACUGGAGGCAGAGAGUGAUGAGAGAAUGACAGCUUGCACCCCGCCCCAUCCCCAGCCUAAGUGAGCUCACUGAUGCCCCAGGCAGUGGGCAGGAUCCCUUGUGGGGUGGGGUGGGGGAGGUGGGGCAAGGGCAGGGCACCAGGACCGGGAGGCAGUGAAGAACCCUUCCCAGGGAACAGGGAGAUUGUGGUGGUGGGGCCUGAGUGUGAAACAAGGCUCCCACAUCCUAGUGCAUUCUUCACUUUCCCGUCAGAAAUAGGAAUUCCAAGAUAAAAUUAAGAAUUUCAGGAUGGUGAUCUUAGGAGCUUCCCUUGCCAAGCCGGGAGUUCUGGACACCUGCACUGAUUUGUGACCUCAGCCAGCCUUGAUUUGAGGUGCAGCCUCAGUGGCUCUGGCAUAGAUAUCGGAAAACCACUGAGCUGGAACACCAGGCAGGUCACAGGGGUUUGAAUUUGUAAUUCAACAUUUCUAUUGAUACGUGCCUUUUAUAAAUGCUCCGUGGCCUUUUAAUAACUUGGUGUGUUAUCUUGCCCAGAGUUUUCGUUCACUAUUAAUACUGAUUCUGUCACUGUUGAGAUAUCUGACUCUGGACAGACUCUGCUCCUUGGCUUCCUCUUCUCUUUUAGUUCUUAUUCUUUGUGAUUCUGCAAACUUAGUUUUAAAGCCUCAUAUUGGAUAUUAAGACAAACGACAUCAUACAACGUAGUUCACCCUAUCCAUUGAUCUGUCUGGCUUCUGUGUUUAAACAAAAGGGACUGGCAGUCUUGCCAAAUCCCUCACUCACCCUAUGUUGUAUUUUAGAUCAUGUUUCAAGAAAGGGAGGCCCCUGUGUCCAGUUAUUGAUUAGCUGGGGAGGAAAAAAAUGGCUUUGCCUCAUUUCUUGUUAGGUAGCAAUCCACGUAUCUUUCCAGUAAGCAGCAUGACACUUCAGGGGGCUCUGGAAGACAUUUGACACUCUGGCGUCAGAGAGCCAAGGCCUGGGAGGUGUGUCCAGCAGUGUGUGUAUCCAGGAAGCAGCAGAGGAACACAGCAUCUGACAGUUCUGUCACUCCUGGCUGUGUGACUGCAGGCUAGUCACUUUCUGUCUCUGGGCUUCAGUUUUUCCAUCUUAAAAUAAAGAGAUUGGACUAGGUCAUCUCCAGGGUUUCAUCUGGCUCCAAAAUCUAAGAUUUUAUGACUGUGAAUCAACAACUUCCAUCUUCUCAGGGGCCUCCAGUCAAGUCAUUCUGGGGAUCACAGUCUUUCAUAAUCUCUGAAGCUUCAUUUCUCAAAACAGCUCAGAGCGGGCCUGUCAUGGUGGCUCACGCCUAUAAUCCCAGCACUUUGGAAGGGUGAGGUGGGUGGAUCACCUGAGGUCAGGAGUUCGAGACCAGCCUGGCCACCGUGGUGAAACCCCAUCUCUACUACAAAUACAAAAAAUUAUCUGGGUGUGGUGGCGGGCGCCUGUAAUCCCAGCUACUUUGGAGGCUGAGGCAGGAGAAUCACUUGAACCCUGGGAGGCAGAGGUUGCAGUGAACUGAGAUGGCGCCGUUGCACUCCA